GCUCAAUCCUUCUGCUGGGUCUGCAAGUCACUGAAAUGGCAGCAGCUAAGAUAGGAUCAUCCCAUUCACUUCCUUACCCUUUAUCUUCCAUUUCUCUUCCUUCAAAACUGAAUACCAAGGAACUCACCCGGCACCACCAUCAACUAUGGCUACGACAGGGUCGAGCCCCAACAAGACGCAACAGGCAGGUGGUACGGGUCUCCCUGCAAGAACAUGUUUCGUCUUUCUAUCUUGUCAUGGAGCAGCUGCAGCUCCAUCACCAUUACCAUCAGAAUCAAGACUACUCCAUGUUUUUACUGGCGGAGAGCGUGGGUUACUCAUUGGCUAGCUACUAUACUUCUCUGGGUCUCUUUGUUAUUUCUGUUCCUGGCCUUUGGUCCCUUAUCAAGCGCUCUGUUAAGUCCAAGGCAUGUUAGCUAGUUCGAUCUUCUUCUAUUGUACUUCAAGAAUUUCUUGAUGGGUAUAUGUAUUGUAGGUUAAUUCUGCUUAGAAGUUAAGAAAUGAGUUUCUAUAUGCAGAUUGUGCAGAAGACGUUUAUAGGUGAAGGGGAAGGGAAGAAAGCACCGAACCAAGUUGCCGGAGAAAUUUUAUCUUUCUUUACUCGCAAUAAUUUUGUUGUCACUGGUAGAGGAGAGACCAUCACGUGAGUAUCUUUUUGUCCACCUAAAAUUUCAUGGUACACAAUGCUUGCUCUGCUGUAGAACCUGCAUAUUAUGCUUACAGUAUUUACCAUUAGGAGAUGUCAUAUUCAAAUUCAGCUGGUCUAAGUUGGGUAGAGAAUUUAUGGAAAUUCGGAGAGAGUAGCUCAGUCGUCUCUAGAGAUGUGAAGUCUCGAUUUCGAAUCCCAGUCGAGUCAAUUGUACCCAAAAAAAAAAGUGGGAGAAUUGCCUGUUGUUAUAACUGAAAGCACUAACGAGCCCUCUUGCUUCAAAUCUUAUUCAUGGAGAUCAAAAUAUAAGGUCUACAAUUUGUUUCUGUGCAUCGAGAGAAGAAAGAAGAAAAUGAGCCCUUACAAAAAUGGCCUAUUUCAAGAGGAAGGAUAUGAUUUUAUUAAGAUGAUAGUUUUAUGGGCCAAUGGCCACAUCAAUAAUCAUGGACAAAGCUUCACUUUAGAUGGUUUCUACUUAGUGUUUCCAUUUCAAUUGUAUGCAGUUUUGAAGGCAUGAUGGUUCCUAGCCGAGGCCAAGCAGCAUUGCUUACUUUUUGCACCUGCAUCAGCUUGGCAAGCGUUGCCCUUGUUCUUACUAUAACUUUUCCAGACUUUGGCAACAACUGGUUCUGGAUCACCAUUCUAAGUCCAUUGGCGUAAGUAAAGGCACUCUUUUGUGACAUUUGAGUUCUCUCAAAGACAUGAUAUCUAUAGCACUAAUGCUUUUAGAAUGGAACGCAGUGGCGCAUACUACUGGAAGCGGGCAUCAAGAAAGGAGCAGAUCAAGGUUAAAAUGAUCGUCGCCGAUGAUGGGACCUUAUCCGAAAUUGUAGUUCAAGGAGAUGACCAGCAAGUAGAUCAAAUGAGGAAGGAGCUUCAGCUUAGUGAAAAAGGCAUGGUCUAUGUUAAGGGCAUCUUUGAGAGAUAAGGAAACUCAAAACAUUGUUUCCCACAUGGUUGGAGCUUCACAUCCGUGCCAGUGCAGUUCAUGAACUAGCAAUCAGGAAACAAUUGUUCUCAGGCGUGAAAAUUUUGAGAAGCAUACAGUUAAUUCAUAACAUGCGACAAUUCAGAUGUAAUCAAUCACACCGUUUUGUGUUGGAAGGGUAAUUUCAUUCAAUAGACUUUCCAGUGAACCAAAAUAAAGGAACAUUUUCAAGGCGCA
rnacentral:misc_RNA from 1 species